rnacentral:lncRNA from 1 species
UCUUUUGAUUUUCAACUGUCGUCUCCUCCUUUUGGUCUCUCACUUUUAAUUUUCCUUCUCUUAUUUGCGCUACCCUCCCUCUUUUCCUUUCUUUCCCUUUCCCUUUUCCUUUCUUUUCUCCUUCUUUCUAUUCCGAAUGCCUUAUCUACCACCUUCGUUUAACAUCCUUGUUGCUGCCAAUUUUUCCUCUCUCUUGGCCGAAUCGUCUUGAUCGCUUAGUUCUGAUUUAGUUCCCAAUUGCGAUAGGUUGGUAAGUGAGAUUUCUUUUAUUGGUUAGAUUCCGUUUCUGGAUGCAUAACAAAGUUAUGGUUUGUUCUAUUCCAUUUUACUUAACCGGUUCCUUUUGAAAUAUUUCUGAAACCUUUAUGCCGAAUACGAUAAUAUGUGUUUUUGUGUGUUUGUCGUUUAAAGGACCAGAUCUUGAUGUGAACGAGUUAGAUCGAAGUUGAGGAUGUUCCGCACGGUGUGGGAAGUAGAGGUGUGUGUCUGACCGUGAUUAUGUCGUGUGUGUGUAGGCUUUGGCCUAUUGUGUAAAUAAUGAAUUGCAUGUUUAGUUGCUGCCAAUUCCUCAUGUAUAUUGGAUAAAUCCUAUCUGUAUAUUUUACUAAUCCAUGCUUACUGUUACCGUUUGGAUGAAAAUAGCAUGUUAAUACUGUUACUGUUACUAUUUUUUGACAUCAUCAACAUGCCAUACUAUUGCAUGGGGAUUAGGUUUUUGAAGGAGGAAGUGCAUGCAUUUAAUGCCGGAUCGGUUCCCGAUCAAAUUACUAUUUUACUGGCGGUAUAAUGACAACCUACUAUUAUACUAACGGUUCAUCCGCAUAUCUACUAGCAGUUCACCCGCAAAUUACUAUUUGUUGUGUUGGGAGGGAACUCUUACUGUUGAGUGUAACGGAUGGAUGGGUAGGAAAUUUGCACUGUUAAUUCAUGCAUACAGUCUGAUGUUGAUAAUUUUUCUAAAAUAGAUAAACUAAUAUGCACUAUUUACUGUAAGCUCCUAUGAUAUAUUUAAUGUUUAUAUACUUAUUUGUUUCUAUGUUAAGACCACACUGAGCUUCAUAGCUAACUUUUUUAGUUUUUUCCCCUAACUUUCUAGAUAACUCGUGAGGUUAGGGCUUGGACUUGGCACUCGGAGCACAGUUGACAAAUUUUUUUAAAAAUCGUAUUUCCAAUCUGUUUUAUGAAUUCUUUUGGGUUUUAUUGUAUAUUACAGAUUGUGGCAUGGACUCUUUAGGUUUUAGAAAUUUUGCAUUAUUCAUUUGACAAUAAAUCUGGUUAUAGGUUAAUGACCGUUAAGAUAUUUUUGAAGUAAUUAUACAUGAGAUUUUUCUAUUAA